rnacentral:rRNA from 1 species
GACUCUCGGCAACGGAUAUCUCGGCUCUCGCAUCGAUGAAGAACGUAGCGAAAUGCGAUACCUGGUGUGAAUUGCAGAAUGCCGCGAACCAUCGAGUCUUUGAACGCAAGUUGUGCCCGAGGCCACCCGGCCGAGGGCACGCCUGCCUGGGCGUCACGC